rnacentral:tRNA from 1 species
GGAGGGUAAGCGAAUGGUUAGCGGCCUCAUUGGAAAUGAGGUGUCUCGAAAGGGAUUGCGGGUUCGAGCCCCGUGCCCUCCG